rnacentral:rRNA from 1 species
AUUGAACGCUGGCGGCAUGCUUUACACAUGCAAGUCGAACGGUAACAGGCCUUCGGGUGCUGACGAGUGGCGAACGGGUGAGUAAUGCAUCGGAACGUACCCAGAGGUGGGGGAUAACGCAGCGAAAGCUGUGCUAAUACCGCAUGUGAUCUGAGGAUGAAAGCGGGGGACCGAGCAGCAAUGUUUGGCCUCGCGCCUUUGGAGCGGCCGAUGUCGGAUUAGCUAGUUGGUGGGGUAAAGGCCUACCAAGGCGACGAUCCGUAGCUGGUCUGAGAGGACGACCAGCCACACUGGGACUGAGACACGGCCCAGACUCCUACGGGAGGCAGCAAUGGGGAAUUUUGGACAAUGGGCGCAAGCCUGAUCCAGCAAUACCGCGUGCGGGAAGAAGGCCUUCGGGUUGUAAACCGCUUUUGGCAGGAACGAAACGGUGUCCGCUAAUACCGGGCGCUAAUGACGGUACCUGCAGAAUAAGCACCGGCUAACUACGUG